GUACACUCCUGCGGGAGGCAGCAGUGGGGAAUAUUGAACAAUGGGCGCAAGCCUGAUCCAGCCAUGCCGCGUGAGUGAUGAAGGCCCUAGGGUUGUAAAGCUCUUUCACCGGUGAAGAUAAUGACGGUAACCGGAGAAGAAGCCCCGGCUAACUUCGUGCCAGCAGCCGCGGUAAUACGAAGGGGGCUAGCGUUGUUCGGAUUUACUGGGCGUAAAGCGCACGUAGGCGGACUAUUAAGUCAGGGGUGAAAUCCCGGGGCUCAACCCCGGAACUGCCUUUGAUACUGGUAGUCUUGAGUUCGAGAGAGGUGAGUGGAAUUCCGAGUGUAGAGGUGAAAUUCGUAGAUAUUCGGAGGAACACCAGUGGCGAAGGCGGCUCACUGGCUCGAUACUGACGCUGAGGUGCGAAAGCGUGGGGAGCAAACAGGAUUAGAAACCCCAGUAGUCCCAUGAU
rnacentral:rRNA from 1 species